rnacentral:lncRNA from 10 species
GUAGUAGGCGUGGUCACGUGACAGGACCGAGCGAUGGGAGGAUUCUGGUGCACCCCGGAAGGAGGAUUUUUAAUUCUUCUGUUUUCUUGUCUAUCGCAAAACAGAGUUUACAUGUAUUUUCCUUUUUUCUUAGCUUAAGAAUUGAAGACUUUGGCCGGAUUAGACCUGGUUGUGUGGAGAGGAGAAUUAAUAACUACAGUGGAGCGAGCCCUCCUGCGAGAGUCAGGAUACUACUAUGCUAGUCCCGACUCUGCCCCAAAUGCCUGGAGAGACUUUGGCUAAGUCACUUUUUCUUUCCGCGGGCUGUUUACCGUUGGUAAAAGGAGAGGGUCACCCACUCACUCCACAAACAUUUGUUGAGUCAUUGGUUAUAGCGGGAACAAGACAGGCAAAGUUCUUCCUGAAUUCUGGUCGGAGAUGGAUAACGGAAACAACUUUGUUGAGGGUCUCGUUCUGUCGCCCUGGCCGGAGUGCAGUGUCAUGAUCAGGGCUCGACCUCCCGGGCUCAAACAAUCCCCCUACUUCAGCCACCCAAGUAGCUAGGACCACAGGGUCUUACUCUGUUGCCCAGGCUGCAGUGCAGUUUCACA